rfam:Clostridium sp. CAG:7 genomic scaffold, scf378
AAACAGAGUAGAGGUUGCGCUGAUCAAAAGUAACCGGCCGGAUGUGACAGGCACAGAAGAAGGUCUGGUGAAAGGGAAAAGCGCCGAAGAAAAGAGGAAACCUGAAAGAGUCUUUUCUGGGCACAGGGUUAAGAACUUUGUGACUGUCAUCCGGGUGGAUGGAGAGCUACCGAAAGA